UCCUACGGGCGGCAGCAGUGGGGAAUAUUGCGCAAUGGGGGAAACCCUGACGCAGCAACGCCGCGUGAAGGAUGAAGGUUUUCGGAUCGUAAACUUCUUUGACAGGGGACGAAGAAAGUGACGGUACCCUGAUAACAAGCCACGGCUAACUACGUGCCAGCAGCCGCGGUAAUACGUAGGUGGCGAGCGUUGUCCGGAAUUACUGGGUGUAAAGGGCGUGUAGGUGGGAAUGCAAGUCAGAUGUGAAAUACCAUGGCUUAACUGUGGUGCUGCAUCUGAAACUGCGUUUCUUGAGUGCUGGAGAGGGAAGCGGAAUUCCAAGUGUAGCGGUGAAAUGCGUAGAUAUUUGGAGGAACACCAGUGGCGAAGGCGGCUUUCUGGACAGUAACUGACACUGAGGCGCGAAAGCGUGGGGAGCAAACAGGAUUAGAUACCCGUGUAGUCGA
rnacentral:rRNA from 1 species